UGGAGAAACAGGAGAUGACAUACUUCUGUGAACUUCUCCCGAAUCAGUCUAAUUAAUGAGAAAAAAAAAUGUCGAUUCAUAGUUUAUCAAUAAUGGGACUACUUCAGUGAACUGUGUUGACUUUGAUAUACAUGGUCCAUUUUCACCUCCAGAUAAAGCAGAAGAUAGCUCAGGUGAUCACCACAGAACCAUACCUGUGACACAUACAGCAGCGAUGCUGAGGCCAUGGAAAGACCAGCAGUGAUCUUAUUGAAUGGUGGAGCAGGCUCGAGGGGCCACAUGGCCGCCUCCUGAUCCUGGUUCUUAUGUUCUAACAGUAAGUCUGCCUCAUACCUGAUGAUGACCAGGUUCUUAACUGCAAUGGAAAGAAAGCUUCAUUCUGACCUGCCUAAUUUUUAUUUCAUCAUCACAUUCAGUUUUUAACAUAUGCCUCAGCCUCUCCAAACCAUAUCUCCUCAAACUUCACCUCACUUGACCUGAUAGUGAAGGGGAUAAAGGAUCAGACAGAACAAGGCCUUCUGUUUUCCUUUAUGUCCUGAGGUCCAUUUGUUCCAGUCACAGAUGUUCCUCAGCCUGUGCACUGACAGCAGAUUUGGGCAGAAGACGGGAAUGUUGUCCAUGUCUAGGGAGGUUUUGAUCUACCUCCACUAUUGAAGAUAAUCACCCCUCCAAGUGCAGAACAACAAACCAGCUCGACGAGCCAACCAACCUCAACACCCACAACCCGAGCUACAGAUCUACUCCAAAACCUUAGGAUAUUUUUGGAAGUAAAAUGAUUGACACGGGAUAUCCACUAGUCUGCAGAAAUAGCUAUAAAAAAAAACAACUUGGGUUGGAAGUCUUCAGUCUCUUUUGGACAAGAAAGAACUUCUUAAAUUGGAAGAAUAUUGACUCCAGUGUAAUGCUUUGCCAGCACAACAAGACUCAGAGCAGAGGAAACUGCUCCCACAAGGAUCUGCUCCAGCCAUCUGUCUCAUCUGGGAACAAGAUGCUGCCAGACCUGCUGAGCUUUUUGUGUCUCUUAGAUACUGGCUGUGAGACAAUGUGGACACUGGAACUAAUGAUGGGUCAACAACAUAAACAGUAGAAAUCACAACUCCUGCUCUCUUCAAAUGCCUCUACUCUUAUUGCCUCUAUUACAUAAGAAUAAUCAUUGACUUAGGAUAUUGUGUGGCUCCCAAACAGAAACCAUUACUUAUGCAAAUGGAAUCAAUAGGAAUACUGUUUCCACCUUGAUUGAAGAAGCUCUGUACCUUGUUAUUUUGGAUAAUGUACAGGCAUGAAAGAAUUAUUGGGUGGUUCUGCAAUCAUAUAGUUGAAGGCAACAAAAACACUGUAACCCCAUAGCCCUGUUUCUUUAAAUUGCUCUCCAAUCAAACAUGG